UACGUAGGGGGCAAGCGUUGUCCGGAUUUAUUGGGCGUAAAGAGCGUGUAGGCGGCCGUACAGGUCAGCUGUGAAAACUCGAGGCUCAACCUCGAGACGUCGGUUGAAACCGUACGGCUAGAGUCCGGAAGAGGAGAGUGGAAUUCCUGGUGUAGCGGUGAAAUGCGCAGAUAUCAGGAAGAACACCCGUGGCUAAGGCGGCUCUCUAGUACGGUACUGACGCUGAGGAGCGAAAGCGUGGGGAGCGAACAGG
rnacentral:rRNA from 1 species